UACAGAGGGGGCAAGCGUUGUCCGGAAUCACUGGGCGUAAAGGGCGCGUAGGCGGCCUGAUAAGUAGGGGGUGAAAUCCUGCGGCUUAACCGCAGGGCUGCCUUCUAAACUGUCAGGCUAGAGCACAGUAGAGGCAGGUGGAAUUCCUGGUGUAGCGGUGAAAUGCGCAGAUAUCAGGAGGAACACCGGUGGCGAAGGCGGUUCUCUGGGCCUUACCUGACGCUGAGGAGCGAAAGCGUGGGGAGCAAACAGG
rnacentral:rRNA from 1 species